rnacentral:lncRNA from 1 species
AGGAUAUUGUGUCCCAGGGUUCUUUUAUUUUUAAAAGGAAAUAUUAUCAAGUUAUAGUGGAUAAAAGUGCAGCUGGACUGCAAAAGGGUAUAAUUCUUGUCUUUGAAAAAGAACAUUAAUUUUUUUACAUAUAGCAUGCCAAAGCAAUUUUUUUUCUCCUUCUCUCUUUUCCUUCUUUCCUUGCUUUUUUUCUGCUUUUCUUUUAUUUAUUUCAAUAAAUAUUUACCAAGUAAUAUUAGGCAAUAUUUAUGAGAUUACUUGCAGUCAGGCAGUCAGGCAUCUAGCAUCCGGAAGGCACCAUCCUCUGUUAAUUAUGAGGAAGCUUAUUGUUUGGCACUGUGGUUAAGAACUAAUUUGCCAAAUCACCUGGUAUUGGUUUUUCCCUAUAAUGAGCACAUAUACUAAUAGAUGUGUUCAAGCCCCAUGUAAAUGUUUGCUAUUAGCUCAUAUGUGCCAAUUUAUCUUUAUAUCAUCUGUACUUUGUUAUGAAUAAAUGAUAG